rnacentral:lncRNA from 1 species
AUAAAUAGUAACGGUAAGAAUAAAUAGCAAUAGUUAAAAAAAAAGAAAAUGAAGAAAAGUAAUAAUUCCCAAAAAUGGUCUAAAUAUAGAAUAAUGUUAGGUGGUUUUUUAAUACAUUGUACAUUAGGCAGUAUUUAUAGCUUUUCUAAUAUAAGUGUUUAUGUUAUAUCUUAUAUGAACAUAAUUGGAUGCUCUAAUGUAAAAUAUAAAGAUAGUAGUUGGGUAUAUGUAUUAACAUUAAUGUUUCAAUGUUUUUUUGGUUUUUUGGAGGAACGUUAAAUCAGAGUUUAGGUCCACAAACAAGUGUGUUAUUAGGUGGUUGGUUAAUGUGUUUAGGAAUAUUAUUAUCAUAUUUUACUGUUUUUAAUUAUUAUUUGUUUUUAAUGACUUAUGGUAUAUUAUGUGGUAUUGGUUGUGGGUUAGCGUAUCCAAUUCCGUUGUCGGUAGCAAUUAAAAAGCAUUUUGACAGUAAGGGAGUGAUUAGUAGCAUAUUUUUCCUAGGGAGAGGUUUAGCUAUGUUCGUUAUAUGUCCCUUACAAAAUUAUUUCAUAAAUAAAUACAAUUACAUGCCUGAUUACAUGCCAGAAGUAAAAAAUGUAAGUGAACAAUAUUUUAGUAAUUUGGAUAUAUUAAACAAAGUACCACAUUUAUUUAUAUAUGAAGGUAUUUGUUUUGCUAUAAUUCAAUUUAUUGGAGCUUAUUUACUUGCUGAUUCGUCAGAUAAAAUAACAUCAGAAGAUUUAUUAACAUAUGAAGAUAAACAUAAUAAUAGUAGUAUAAAGAAUAAUAAUAGUAAUAGUAUAAUUAAUAAUAAUAAAUCAAUUUAUUUUGAUAAUAAAAUUUUUACAAAUAAUAAAAUGAAUAAUAUUUCUAAUUCUUUUCUUAGUUUAUCAAACGGUUCAAUUUUGUCAACACCUAAACAUUUAAAAAAAUAAAAAUACAUUUAUUAAUCGUGAAUUUAUAUUAAUUUGGUUAAUGAUUUUUUUUAAUUGGCAAGCUAUUUUUUAUACACAAGUAUUUUGGAAAAUUUUUGGAAUAAAUUAUUUACAUAUAGAUGAUAGAUUUUUAUC